rnacentral:tRNA from 1 species
GCCGGCGCCAGCUGGCAGAGCAGCUGUUUUGUAAAUAGCGGGUCGCCGGUUCGAAUCCGGCCGUCGGCUCCA